rnacentral:rRNA from 1 species
UACGGGGGGAGCAAGCGUUGUUCGGAAUUACUGGGCGUAAAGCGUGCGCAGGCGGUUUUGUAAGUCUGUCGUGAAAGCCCCGGGCUCAACCUGGGAAUUGCGAUGGAGACUGCAAGGCUUGAAUCUGGCAGAGGGGGGUAGAAUUCCACGUGUAGCAGUGAAAUGCGUAGAGAUGUGGAGGAACACCGAUGGCGAAGGCAGCCCCCUGGGUCAAGAUUGACGCUCAUGCACGAAAGCGUGGGGAGCAAACAGG